UGCAUUGAUGCCGACUGGCUAUGUAACGGUUUCAGUCCAUUUACACUCCGAGCACUUGUUUGGGACCGCCAUUAAUAGGAUGAACCUCCACUCAGAUGGAGGGAGGAUAGCAUAACGGGACAGGGGCCGGUUUAGGACGUGAGACACGAGACUUUGUCCCAAAGACUCCAGCACAGCUCCGGGCUCUCGACUAACGCCCCUUGCCUCCGAGCGAGGGACACAUGGACACCGAGAGUUAGAGGUUCACGAGGAAGGAUGAGGGAGGGGUGGAGGGAGGAAGUGUGGGAGGAGAGAGAGAAGACGCGUCGGCCUCCUCAGCCGGUGAAGCUUCACCAAGCGAGCAUGUCUGAGUUGAGCGUCUGCAGAGGGGAGGAGACGCUUCUCCGCUGAGAGGAAAACCGAGACAAAAAGCACCCGAUUGGCCUCCAGAUGCUCCAUCACCCCCCCCCGUGUAUGGAGCCAGCAUCCGUCCGUUUUUCACCAUCACUCCUCUCAGCUUGUCGACACUAUUUUUGUGGAUUUAUCUGAUCUUGUUCCGCAGCUUUACUGAUGUGGAUAGAAGCCUCCAACUGCAGACUGAGCAAAGAGGGCACACGCACAUAUCGUGGGUCCGUUUCCUGCACAUAUUUGUCCGAGAGCUCCAAGAAGAUUGUGCCGAGCAACAGUCUGGAUCUUUAAGCUUUCCACUGAACACAUGGACGAGAUUUAAAGAGGGCGAAGGAGCAGAUUCCGGAAAAGAAAAAGCAGACUGCGUAGUGGGAUGAAACAACGGUGGUCGAGCACGACCUUUCCCCUACAUCUCACUGACGGACGAGGCCCAUGAUGCUGACCCUGUAGGUCAAACACCCUGCAGACAAGCCAUGACCAGCGUCAACUCUCCAGCCUGUCUGCUCGCCCGCAACCACUUCUACAGAAAUUUACCGUCCAGCCCGGAGCCUUCGUCGGCUGUGUUCACCUGUCACAACGACUCUGCCAGACACAAACAGAGACAGGUCACCCUCUGGGUCACCAUGGCGACGCCUCCUGCGUUUACAGGCGGGACUGAAACCAAAAGAUUAGGGGUCAACAUUGUCCUGGGUUUUCCUUCUUCUCCUCCCUUCUCCACCUCCAAGCCAACCAACCCCGCUGAGCGGGACGUCAAGUAGAAGGGGAACGAGUGCUCCCCAUUGGUCCACAGACUGACACAGGAAGUUAAGAUCGUCAAGAACGACCAAUUCCCAUUUUUCCUCAAUGGCUCUGGAUUGGACAGCCUGGAUCAAAUGGACACACUGCGGCUAAAGCACCUGGUGCGUAAUCCCACAGAAGGUUGAAGCCGUGAACAGGAGUCUCGAGUGGACAAGGGAAUAUUUCAUGUGGCGCGGCCCCAGAAUUUCAGAAUUGAUUUGGGUGAUUAAGCGUUACCAAGUACAGCCAACAUUAACUGGAGCUGCAACCGUUACUUGAUUAAUGGGUUAGAGGAAAAUGAAUUCAAUCAAAUUUCACAACUUUUUCCUGACAUUUGUCAAAUGUGGGAAUUUAGUUCUUUUUUUCAUCUUACAUAUAUAUUACAUUGAGUAUUUGGAGGUUUUGGACUGACAGUCAAUCAAAACAAACAUCCAAUGUCACUUUUCGCUGUUUUCUCAUGUUCUACAGACCAAAGGAUCGAGUGAGAAAAUAAACGACUGUUCCCUCGAGCCACUACAAACUGACUUUUUAUAAAAGAGAGGGAGGAAUGUUCCAGUCGAUCCUCGGAUCCGAAAUGAAAUGGAUCCAAAUAUUCUCAUACAAGAUUAGUCGAAGGAGUUACAUGUCUGCUGGUUUGCCUUCGGGGGGGCCUGUAAGCCAUGAUUAAGUCCGUCAAACCAGUUUAACAGUUAAAGCACCUACGCAGAGAGUAGAAAUAUACCCAACACUCAUUGUGCGUCAUGUCUGUGUUGUGCACCUCUGUGUUAGUCACAUUAUCACCGGUUUCGACACAGCGAACUGAAAGGGGGACUUAUUAUGUCAGUGUCAAUUAUCUUGUUCCUGACAAAAUCAUUGACACAGGCCCCUAUAAGAAACUGGUCUGCGAUAUGAUAUGAAUUCAUCUCAUUGACGUCUUUUAACGUCGCACUGCUUCUCGAAGACUCCGAACAGUGGCCAUGCUGCGUUCUAAACAUGUCCGAACGUGUCAUUUUUUCACUGGAUAGAUGAUUAAUGUCGUCAAAUGAUGUUAGGCCACAGAUGUACACUCAGACCGUUGCCUGAUCAUGGCACAUGUCAUCAUAUCUGCUCAAGUUGUGAUCCAGUGGCUCGUCCGACUGGUUGAACAGGCAGUCUCAUCUGUUUUUAAUCUCAUCCAAAAACACGGUUUCAAUACGAACCUGCAGGGUCAUCAUGUCGACAUGGACGACAUGACAGCUCCGAAAAGGUGAAGCCAAAUCAUCGGCAUCGCCCUCUGGUGGCUGACUGCAUGUUAGCAGAUGGGACAUGGACCAAACUAAAAAAAGCACACGUUAAAAAAAACGAUUUGUCAUUUUAGGUAGUUCUUCUCACAAUGAUCUAAGUCUAAGAGUUCAUGUGUCUGAUGAGUUCUGUUUGAAUUGGUUAUUUGAUGCUCUAAAAACAGUUGAGACGAGUCGACUCCUAUUACUGCUGCACAGGCUCUGGCUCCAAAUGACGUCACCUCUAUUCGAGAUAUAUUGGCGUCGUUUUUGUACAAUGGGAGAAAAGUGGAGACGCGUCGUCCAUCUUUAUUUAGAGUCUAUGGUGGGUGAAAAUUCAAAGGUAAAAGCUCACCUGACCUCAUUCCCUUUCUGUUAGCACUAGCCAGCCCAGCCUUCCAGACAGGGAUAGAAUCAAUAACACUAUUUGAAAUAUUAACCUUUACCCUAUCUAAUCGUAGCAUAUAGCUCAUGUGUAUUCACUGAUGAAAGAUUAAUCAUUUGUCAUUUUCCAAAUAAAAACACAGAGACAUUCAUCUGAA